UACAGAGGGGGCAAGCGUUGUUCGGAAUUACUGGGCGUAAAGGGCGCGUAGGCGGCCUUCUAAGUCGAACGUGAAAUCCCCGGGCUCAACCCGGGAACUGCGUCCGAUACUGGAAGGCUUGAAUCCGGGAGAGGGAUGCGGAAUUCCAGGUGUAGCGGUGAAAUGCGUAGAUAUCUGGAGGAACACCGAUGGCGAAGGCAGCCCCCUGGGCCGACACUGACGCUCAUGCACGAAAGCGUGGGGAGCAAACAGG
rnacentral:rRNA from 1 species